rnacentral:rRNA from 1 species
UUAGGAAUAUUGGGCAAUGGAGGAAACUCUGACCCAGCAACGCCGCGUGAAGGAAGAAGGUUUUCGGAUUGUAAACUUCUGUACUAAGGGACAAAGAAAGUGAUGGUACCUUAGUAGAAAGCUACGGCAAACUACGUGCCAGCAGCCGCGGUAAUACGUAGGUAGCAAGCGUUGUCCGGAAUAACUGGGCGUAAAGGGAGCGUAGGCGGUCUUUUAAGUUCAAUGUGAAAUCCUAUGGCUUAACCAUAGAACUGCAUUGGAUACUGGAGGACUAGAGUAUGGAAGAGGUAAGCGGAAUUACUAGUGUAGCGGUGGAAUGCGUAGAUAUUAGUAGGAACACCUGUGGCGAAAGCGGCUUACUGGGACAUUACUGACGCUGAGGCUCGAAAGCGUGGGGAGCAAACA